rnacentral:RNase_P_RNA from 2 species
AAUCUCGAGUAAUCGCGCCCGGCCUAUGUCGGGUGAGGAAAGUCCAUGCCCGCACAAGCUGCGAUGCUUGUAGUGUUCGCGCUAGGCCCAAUAAGCCUAGGUACCGCUUUGGCGGUAACGGCGGUGGCACCGGCUAACGCUUCGGCCAUGCUGGUGCGCCUGAAAGUGCCACAGAAACGAGGCCGCCUGGAAACAGGCGGCAUGGAACGGGUAAACCCCGCGAGCGAGUAACCCAAACUUUGGUAGGGGCGCAAGGGCUAGGGAAUUGAACCGAUGCCCCCAACAGUGCAAACUGAGAUAGAUGAUUACUGAAGGUCCGGCUGCCUGAGUCGGACUGGAACAAAACAUGGCUUAUAGAG